rnacentral:ribozyme from 12 species
UCGUAUGAUUUUUGUUCGACCUGCUUUUUUUCCUUUUUUCCUUCCUUUUUUUCCUUCUUUUGCUUUGGCUCGUCGUCGCUGGACAUUUUGUGAGAUUUGUUCAAACUGACCUUCCUCUCUUUAAAAAAAAAAAAAAGCC